UACGUAGGAGGCGAGCGUUGUCCGGAUUUAUUGGGCGUAAAGCGCGCGCAGGCGGCACAUCAAGUACGCAGUGAAAUCUCCCUGCUCAACGGGGAGGGUGCAGCGUAAACUGGUGAGCUAGAGGACGGUAGAGGGGGGUAGAAUUGCUGGUGUAGCGGUGAAAUGCGUAGAGAUCAGCAGGAAUACCCGUGGCGAAGGCGGCCCCCUGGGCCUGUACUGACGCUGAGGAACGAAAGCGUGGGGAGCGAACAGG
rnacentral:rRNA from 1 species